AUGUUAGUCAUUGUAGUAAUACAAGGCAGACGGCUCAGUAACGCGUAGUCAACCUAACCUAUGGAUGGGGAUAACUCCGGGAAACUGAGAUAAUACCCAAUAGGUCAUUAUACCUGGAAUGGUUUAUGAUCCAAAUGAAUUUCGCCGUAGGAUGGGACUGCGAGCUAUCAGCUUGUUGGUGAGGUAGUGGCCCACCAAGGCGAUUACAGCUACGGGCUCUGAGAGGAGUAGCCCGGAGAUGGGUACUGAGACAAGGACCCAGGCCCUAUGGGGCGCAGCAGGCGAGAAAACUUUGCAAUGUACGAAAGUUCGACAAGGUUAAUCCGAGUGGUUUCUGCUAAAGGAACCUUUUGCUAGUUGUAAAACUACUAACGAAUAAGGGGUGGGCAAGUUCUGGUGUCAGCCGCCGCGGUAAAACCAGCACCUCAAGUGGUCAGGAUGAUUAUUGGGCCUAAAGCAUCCGUAGCCUGUUUUGUAAGUCUCCGGUUAAAUCCAUCAACUCAAGUGAUGGGCUGCCGGAGAUACU
rnacentral:rRNA from 1 species